GCCUUUGUAGCUCAUUUAAUCAGAGCGCUGCACCAAAAUAGCAGGGUCGUUGGUUCGAUUCCUUUCAGAGGGC